rnacentral:rRNA from 1 species
GACGAACGCUGGCGGCGUGCUUAACACAUGCAAGUCGAACGGAAAGGCCCUGCUUUUGUGGGGUGCUCGAGUGGCGUACGGGUGAGUAACACGUGAGUAACCUGCCCUUGACUUUGGGAUAACUUCAGGAAACUGGGGCUAAUACCGGAUAGGAGCUCCUGCUGCAUGGUGGGGGUUGGAAAGUUUCGGCGGUUGGGGAUGGACUCGCGGCUUGUCAGCUUGUUGGUGGGGUAGUGGCUUACCAAGGCUUUGACGGGUAGCCGGCCUGAGAGGGUGACCGGCCACAUUGGGACUGAGAUACGGCCCAGACUCCUACGGGAGGCAGCAGUGGGGAAUAUUGCACAAUGGGCGGAAGCCUGAUGCAGCAACGCCGCGUGCGGGAUGACGGCCUUCGGGUUGUAAACCGCUUUCGCCUGUGACGAAGCGUGAGUGACGGUAAUGGGUAAAGAAGCACCGGCUAACUACGUG